ensembl:processed_transcript Gm14164 uncharacterized LOC110290375
AUGUGCGGGCAAACCCGUGUAGAAGUGAAAGGAAGUGUUUCAGAGCCACCUCUCCCCUUUGACCAAUUGAAUGCCCCAGCCAUCAGUUUGGCAGCAGCACGUGUCUUUACCCCCAUGAGCCAUCGUGACAACUCCAAUUACUAUUCUUUGUUUUUGUUUUUAUUUCCUUCCUCAACUUUUGGGGCUCCCAGGUUUACAGUGAGAGAUCCUUAUGUCCCCUCUCAAAACUUCUGUCCUUUUAGAACCAUUUCUCGGGGUAACUUUCAUAGACGAUACUCGUGCAGUUGGGUGGGAGUCUUCACACUGUAUAGUCCUAAAAGCCUGAGGCAGAUUUUCCCUAUACACAAGUCCCAAGGAAUGGUGAGUUCAGGAUUAAGGGCUCUCGGUCUUUUUGACUACUAG